CCAACAUAUAAAUAGCUGCCCUUUAGGUGUUGCAUAUCAAAUUGGCCAAAAUUGCAAAAAAUGGUGAGAUUUGGAAGUACGUAUGAAAGAUGGAAUUAACAAAUCGCUCUUGGAAUUUCUGGUUUGUCCACUCUCUAAACAACCUUUGAGAUAGUCGAUGGGAUCCCUCGUCUUGUACCAACGGAUGGCAAGAUUAUCGAGACUGAUGAUGCAUUAAAUUCUGAUGGCUCUGUUGAUUUGCCUGGCAAAAGAACUGAUGAUCAAAGAGGUAGUUCUUAACACUUCUCAUUGACAAACAACGUUUGGAGUUCAUAAGCUGAUGGAAGGUGUUCAAGAGAAUUAAGUCAGGUGAAUGCUUACUGUGGUUGUUCAAGAUUGAAUGGUGUUUCUCCUUGGUCCAGACUGCCUUUGUCUCCAAAAUCUACUCUUCCAAGACCUUCAACACCAAAACACAUCGAAAAAGAAUUUGCAGCAAGCCAGAAAUUGCUCACAUCUCCACCAUAUGUAUUGAUGGCGAAUUCCUUUGAUUAUUUAAACCGAAUGGUGCUCUCACAAAUUGUGGAGCUUCUUUUGCUCAAACCACAUCUAGAAUUCGAUAAGCGGGUAUGCUAGCCAAAAAUUGCUCAUAAAUAUUGAUUGGGAGUAUUUGUAAUGAUUAAAACGAGUGGUGCUCUGGUAGAUUGUGUAGCAUCUGUUGCCUCUGUGAAGCCGAGGAUGCAUCUUCAGAUCAAGAAGAAAUCUUUAUAUUUGCACUGAAACAUCCAAAAAGAAAUAUUUAGACGAAAAUGCGAUUCGCCAUUAUGAAAGCUGUUCCGCUUUGUUCUGCAUUUUUUCGUUUCUUCUACAGAGAUAAAGGGUCCAAAAAAUGCAACCUCACUUUCUCAGUUUCUUGUACACCUCACAAAUUUCAGAAAUGGAGAUUGGCUUAGCAGUUGGUGGUGCAUUUCUCUCUUCAUUCCUGCAAGUUCUCUUUGAUAGGCUUGCUCCUCAGGGUGAGCUUCUCAAGAUGUUUCAGAAGAACAAGCAUGAUGUUUGACUCUUAAAGAAGCUGAAAAUGACUUUGGUUGGCCUUCAGGCUGUGCUAAGUGACGCGGAGAAUAAGCAGGCAUCAAAUUCACACGUGAGCUAGUGGCUUAAUGAACUUCGAGAUGCUGGGGACUCUGCUAGUCAAUUAUGAGGCUUUGCCACUUAAGGUGGAAGGUCAGCUUCGAAAUCUUGCAGAAACAAGCAACCAACAAGUAAGUAACCUCAAACUGAGCUUGAGUGAUGAUUUUUUUCUUAACAUAAAGGAGAAGUUGGAAGACACUAUUGAAACAUCGGAGGAUUUGCAAAACCAAAUUGGUCUUCUUGGCUUAAAGGAGCAUUUUGCUUCGACUAAACGAGAAAAUAGAACAUCUUUAACUUCUGUGGUUGAAUUUGAUGUCUUUGGUAGGCGGAAUGAAAAAAAGUAAUUGAUUGACUGCUUAACGUCUAAGGAUGCAAGUGAAAAAAAUCUGACUGUUGUCCCUGUUGUUGGAAUGGGGGCGUGGGCAAGACAACACUAGCUAAAGUCGUUUACAAUGAUGAGAAGGUGCAAAACAAUUUUGAUUUGAAAGCUUAGAUCUGUGUGUUUGAGCCAUAUGAUGCUUUCAGAAUAUCAAAAGGGUUACUUCAAGAAAUUGGCUCAUUUGACUUAAAAGGUUGAUGACAAUCUUAAUCAGCUGCGAGUCAAAUUGAAGGAAAGCUUAAAGGGAAAGAAGUUUCUCAUCGUUUUGGAUGAUGUGUGGAAUGAUGACUAUAAUGAGUGGGAUGACUUGAGAAAUCUUUCUGUACAAGGAGAUAUAAGGAGAUAUGGGAAGUAAGAUCAUUGUGACGACACGUAAAGAGAGUGUUCCCCGGAUGAUGGGUAAUGGGGCAAUCAACAUGGGGACUGUGUCUAGUGAAGCCUCUUGGGCUUUAUUCAAACGACAUUCUCUAGAAAACAGGGGUCCUUAGAAUUGGGGAAAGGACAAAUAGCACCUAAAACAAAAAUAAUAUCAUAAAAAUAGCACUUACAAUUAAAUACCCACAAUGAUCUCUUUCAGAAGACUCUGGGACCCUUUCGAACAAUGAUCUUGAUCUCAACUUGUUAGAGUAUUGGUUGCCUAAAUCUUGAUUUCCUUUAUCUCCCCGUGGUACUACAAGACCAUUAGCAGUCCAAUGAUGAAUAACUUGUUCUUUCCUAAAUGGAUAAUCCUUAGGAAAUAUUACACAACAGGAAAAACAUGGCUUUAAAUGUGGGGCAAGUUCAUUGUAGCUCAACAUCAAUGCUGGUAAUAUGUCAUUGUUUGAUAGGUCCCAUAUUUCACUUCUCAAAAUACGUCUCCACCCUUCAACCUCUGAUUUGGAGCCUAACAAGCCAGCGAGCGUCUUCAGAGCUAAGGGCAGUCCUUUGCACUUCGCUGCUAUUUUUUUCUGACCUCUUCAAGUUCCAGAUCUUCCAUAGGGUCCAUGUUUUUAAAUUCAUGUCUCUUAAAUAAAGACCAAGAGUCAUCAAUAGACAAGGUGUUCAUGCUAAUUUGCUCAGUUCGCAUCAUCAAGGCAACACUCUCUUUAUGUCGUCACAGUGAUCUUACUUCCAAUAUCUCCUUGAACGAAAAUAUUCCUCAAGUCAUUCCACUCUUUGUAGUUGUCAUUCCACACAUCAUCCAGAACAAUGAGAAAUCUUUUUCCAUUUAGUUUUUCCUUCAAUUUGACUUGUAACCGAUUAAGAUUAUUGUCAUCCUAUAAGUCAAAUGAGCCAAUAUCUUGAAGUAACCCUUUUGUUAUUCUAAAAGCAUCAUAUAGCUCAGACACACAAAACCAAGAUGUCAAAUUAAAAUGGCUUUGCACCUUCUCAUCAUUGUAAGCAGCUUCAGAAAGUGUUGUCUUGCCCACGCCCCCCAUUCCUACAAUAGGGACAACAAUCAGAUUUUUUUCACUUGCCUCCUUAGACGUUAAACGGUCAAUCAAUUCCUUUUUUCAUUCUGCCUACCAAAGACAUCAAAUUCAACCACAGAAGUUGAAGGUGUUCUAGUUUCUCGUUUAGUCGAAGCAAAAUGCUCCUUUAAGCCAAGGAGGCCAAUUUGCUGUUGCAAAUCCUCCAAUGUUUCAAUGGUGUCUUCCAACUUCUCCUUUAUGUUAAGAAAAUAAUCAUCACUCAAGCUCAAGUUGAGGUCACUUACUUGCUGGUUGCUUGUUUCUGCAAGAUUUCGAAGCUGACCUUCCACCUUAAGUCGCAAAGCCUCAUAAUUGACUUGCAGAGUCCACAGCAUCUCGAAGUUCAUUAAGCCUGCUAAGAGUAAUUUGCAAACAAGAAUGAUCAGUUGGAAAACCUGACGAAGCUGUGUUAUAUGGCAGGACUGAAUUUGAAAAAUUCUACAAGUUGGGACUACGCUGACUUGGUUAAGGAUUGUGCUGCUCUGCUGGCAUAUGAGCUACCCCAAAAAUCUUCUGUUGGGUAUCUUCUAGGAGAUUCACAGCGAGAAAUCAUAGCUGAUGCUGUCAAUGCUAUGGUAUUGUCAACGAAUCCCAGCGUGAAAGAUUCAAGAGAGUGCUUACAUUCACGUCUUGACAGGCUACUGAGGCAGCUUAGUGCUUGCUUCUUGGAGAAGAGGUUGUUGAAUGGGGAUCAGGGUGAAGGUUUCCAUCCUCAGAGAAUACUUAACAGUGGUAGGAAAGACUGAGGUAUAGUCUUGGUUUGCAUUCUCGUCACUCCCAACCCAUGUAUAUGCUCAACCCACCGUGGGGAAAUGCCCCUCGAUGACCAGCACACUUGCUGUGUAGAGUUGUUAUGUACUUUCUUGAUUUGUAGUAAACAUUCAUUUUCUUGGAAAUAUUGGGUUGUCUUCUUUUCAUACCCCAACAGUAAACCUUCUAUAGUUGGUGCACAUUGAAUGGUGAAAUUCUAUACUUGGGGUAUAGCUUUGUACAGUCAUUUUUCAUGUUCUGUAGAUUGUUGUUUUGUGUAAGCUGCUGCUUUAUUUUUCA